GUAAAAGUGAUGUUGUGGUAGUUCUAGGCCCAGCCUUUAAAAGCACUGCUGCUUCUCUCUUGAAAUGCUCACACUUGGGACACUUUCCUCCAGAACCCAGAGGCUAAAUGGAUGUUCACUUUUAGAUGACAGCCCCAGCUGUCCCAGCGAAUAGGCAGCAUCAAGUAUCAGCCAUUUGAGUGAACCAUUUAGAUGUUCCAGUGCAAUUGAGCAGAAGAACCACCCAGCUGAACCUAGUCAAUCCACAGAACCAUGAGAGAUAAUGAAAUGGUUGUUGUUUUAGGCCAUGAAUUUUGCAGUAAUACACAGCAAUAAUAACCAAAACAGAAAUUAGUGAGGUGCUGAAACAACAAAAAGCUAAAACAUUUGGCAUUGGCUUUGGACCUAGAAAGCAGAUAGAAGGUAGUCCAAAGCAGACUGCUAGUGAAAAAUGGAAUGAUAGGGAGAAAAAUGUUUUUGAUGCUGGAAAGGAGGAAGAGGGCUUAUGUUUUUUGUGGACACAAAAAACAGAAAAUAAAGCAAAUGAAAAUUUUUUUUAUUUUAUUGAGCAGCAGAAUAGUGAAAGUGCCAACUGUUUUUCCUGAAUAAAAUAAGGUAUAUGUAGAGAGAGGAACUUAAAAAAAUAGCUUUCAAACAGGAUCUAGAGGGAGUAUUUCUUAACCAAGACUUGUUGGGAAUUUUUCUUAUUCCCAGUCUCCCUCAACAAAAGUCUCUCAAAGUAAGAAAUUACUUUAGGACAAAGAUCAAAUCCAAGGCACUGUCAGUAAAUGUGCAGUUUCAAAGUCAAGAUCUCAGAUAUGUGGCUAUAAGAACUUUUUGUUAAAAACUCAGAAGGAUUUGACAUUUGUAAAAAACUCAGGUGUGCCUCUUUGAAACUUUCUUCUAGACAAUGAGGCUUCUAUAACUCUCUGUUCAAAGUAGGGAAAGGCCUUUUAUAAAGAAACUUUGGUGUCGCUUUUGUCCAGGAAAAUGGCUUAUAUUUUUAUACUCAGGAAAACCACAAAGUAUCUAUAGGAAGUGUACCAAUUUGUACUAAACAAACAAAGAAAAACAGUGACAGUUCAAAAAUUAAGAGAUCUUUGAGACACUCAAUUUUCAACAAAAAGAACACAGCCUGAGAAAGUCACUCAGCUACACAUGUGGGCUGUUUCUUAGGGAAAAGAGAGACAUAUGGAAGAGCCAGAAGCCCAGAGGAAAAAGCUAAGAGGCAGAGAGAAUCAACCCAAGAAAGCUGGAGGAAACCCUAACCAAGGAACCCACAUCUGCUCACCUAAAUUUCAGGAUGUUUAUGAACCAGUGGCUGCUAUUUGCCACUGUACUUUUGGAAUGCGUGUCUAUCAAAUUCUAUUGUCCUUGUCUCACUAUUACAUACUGAGUUUGUGGGGGCCAGAUAACUUGUUUUCUAGUUCAUAGCUCUUCAUCUCAAGAGUAGCCUGAGGUGCCUUAUUCACACCUGGAUCUGAUUUAGAUAAUGGAAUGCUGAACAUUGAACCUAAUUCAGUCACAAAUUGAGACUUUGAGGGUCAUGGGGAAUGGUCAGGGUAUUUUGCAUGUAGAAUGAAUUUAAAUAAUUUAUGACUGAGGGAUCACUGUUGUGGGCUAAAAAUGACCAAACACGUUUUAUUACUCUUUCCAUCAACAUGUGGCAUUUAUUUUCAUUCCCUCUUGAAUCUGGGUUGGCCCUGUGACAGCUUAAAUAGAAUGUGGUGGAAGUGAUGAUAUACCAGUUACAGACACACUUUUUAAGAGGAUUGCAGCAUCCAGGUCCCCCUCUAAGGUUUCUCAUUCUUGGAACAAUUCUUGGAACUCACCCAUCAUACUGUGAGAAACCCAAGCCACAUGUAUAGGACACAUGUUGAUGAUCCAAUUGACAGUCUCAAGCGAACUCUUUGCCAAUAACCAGCAUCAAAUGCUGCCAGGUAAAUGGGAAAUCUUGGCUGUCCCAGCACAAUUGAGCCCAUAGAUGAUGCAGCCAAAUCCAAUUUAUAAGAAACAAGCAACCCCAUUUAGUCCAGUCAACACUAAAAAUAGCGUGAAAUAAUGAAAUAGUUAAGCCAGUAACUUUUGGAGUGGUUUGUUAUAAAAUAAUAGAUAAUUAAAAUAGGAGUCAGCUGUGUAUAGAGGUUAAUGAAGCCAUGAGAUGGUUAAGACAAUCAAUAUGUGACAUGAAAGAAAAAAGGCUAUCUUAGUCUGUUUUCUGUUACCUGAAUUCCAUAAACUGAGUAAUUUAUAAAGAAAAUAAAUGUAUUUAUUUCUUACAGUUCUAGAGGCUGAUAAGUCCAAGCAUAUGGUGCCAGCAUCUGGUGAGGCCUUCUUGCUGUGUAAUCUCAUGGCAGAAGAGUGGAAGGACAAGUGAGCACAUGCAAAAGGGAUUGUACAAGAUGCCCUGGUACUGUGGGGCGGGACCUUGGAAAAAUUACCCAGAGGAUGUGAAGUGAAAGUUUUGUUACACCAUUCUUCAGAGUGAAGGCAGUUUUCCUACAGAAACCUUCAAAAAAGGAGAUGCAUCCUUCCUUGUUCCUGGCAGUCUUGCAUUUGAGGAAAUCAGUAUGCUCCAACUUAGACUUAUCUUUUAGUCUCCAGAGGCAGAAAAAAAGCAGAAAAGGUUGUUGAAAUUCUUCACAUUGAUUUCAGGGCAAUGAUCUCAAACGGCGCAGUGGGAACCCGCAAAUUUAAGAGGGUAGUUUCCCUGCACAAGCCCUUUUUUUGCCUGCUGCCAUCCGUGUAAGAUGUGACUUGCUCCUCCUUGUCUUCUACCAUGAUUGUGAGGCCUCCCCAGUUAUGUGGAACUCAAAGCUAGAGGAAACCAAAGUCAUAGAACAUCUGAACUCUGUCCAAACAUCGGUCGUAUUUCAAAAUUUCAGAGCCUCAGACUUCCAUGAUAAUAUCUGCCUAGUCUUUAGAAGAGUGUAUGGAAGUGUUCAAGAACCUUUCCUGAAACAACUUCUAUUACAGACACUGCUUCUUCAUGGUUAUUCCAUCAGAUUGCAAUCACUUAUAUGUUUUUUUCCACUCUUCCUUAUAUUAUGAGCACUUUUCACGUAGGGGUUCAUCUCUUUAAUAAUCAUAGCUCCCAACACAAUUGUAGGCUUAUAUUAGAUGCUCGAUAAAGAUGAGUUGAGUUAACAUGUAAAGUAAUGAAUGAGUAAGGAAAAAUAGAAUAGUUUCGAAUUAAUGCAUGUUACUGCUACUGUAAAUUUAAUGUUUUCAUUUCUAUUACUAUUUAUAUAUAAAUUUAAUUAAUUGUUAACUUUCUUUGCCAUCCAUACAUCUAUUUAUCUGCUCAUUUGAAAAUCUCUUUCCUGUUUCCUAUUAUUCAAAAUAUUAAAAGCAAAUAUUACUUAAAUAUUUAAAUCACUCUUUUUCCAUGUUAAGUUUCUCAGGAUGCAGAAUGUUGCUGUACACUGAGAAAUAUUAGGCGAUACAAAAUGGCUACUAUAACGUAAUGUUCUAGAAAAUGAUAAAAGUCAAACCCAUUGGUUUUUGCUGCCAACACAAGUUUGUCAAUGUAAUUAAUGCCCUUUAGCCUGGGAGGGUUGUAUGACAGGAAAAAUGGCAUCAAAGCCAUUUUUAUUUAAAAAAUAAAUUUAAUAUUACUUGAUAAUAAGGGAGCUAUAUAAGCAAAAAUCUUAGAAUUUUCUUUUUCUUUUUUUUCCUUAGUUUCACAUCUUUCUACAUAGUAUCCAAAUCCCAGUUGUUGAUACUAAUUUUCUUGCCUUCUUACCCUUAACAAGUUUGGAGACAAAGUUAAUAUCAUUAGUAGUAUGUAAACUAAUUCCUAAAGCAAAAGUCUCUAAAAGUGUGAUCCAUGUCCCAUUUUUUAUUGGUCUGCAAUGAGGUAAGCACAGAAAUUUUAAUCACCUCCACGCAUACCUUCAAUGAGCAACAUGUACAGUUUUUUGAGACUCUUCUCUCUUUUCCUGUUAUUUUCUGAUUGCAUUUAUAAAAAUGCAAUUUUGUGUUUGUUGAAUCUGAUGAUAAAAAAUGAGGAAACACCGCAUAUUCUCACUCAUAGGUGGGAAUUGAACAAUGAGAUCACAUGGACA
rnacentral:lncRNA from 10 species